ACGCACGCUGGCGGCGUGCUUAACCCCUGCCAGUCGAACGGUGAUGCUCCAGCUUGCUGGAGUGGAUCAGUGGCGAACGGGUGAGUAACACGUGAGCAACCUGCCCCAGACUCUGGAAUAAGCGCUGGAAACGGCGUCUAAUACUGGAUACGAAACUGGCCCGCAUGGGCAUGGUUUGGAAAGUUUUUCGGUUUGGGAUGGGCUCGCGGCCUAUCAGCUUGUUGGUGAGGUAAUGGCUCACCAAGGCGACGACGGGUAGCCGGCCUGAGAGGGCGACCGGCCACACUGGGACUGAGACACGGCCCAGACUCCUACGGGAGGCAGCAGUGGGGAAUAUUGCACAAUGGGCGGAAGCCUGAUGCAGCGACGCCGCGUGAGGGAUGACGGCCUUCGGGUUGUAAACCUCUUUCAGCAGGGAAGAAGCGAAAGUGACGGUACCUGCAGAAGAAGCACCGGCUAACUACGUG
rnacentral:rRNA from 1 species